UACGAAGGGUGCUAGCGUUGUUCGGAAUUACUGGGCGUAAAGCGCGCGAGGCGGCGAUACAAGUCAGGGGUGAAAUCCUGGGGCUCAACCCCAGAAUUGCCCUUGAAACUGUAUCGCUUGAGUGUCGGAGGGGAUAGCGGAAUUGCUAAUGUAGAGGUGAAAUUCGUAGAUAUUAGCAGGAACACCGGUGGCGAAGGCGGCUAUCUGGACGACAACUGACGCUGAGGCGCGGAAGCGUGGGGAUCAACAGGG
rnacentral:rRNA from 1 species